rnacentral:rRNA from 1 species
UGCGUAGGCGGAAUAAUAAGUCAGUGGUGAAAGCCUGUAGCUUAACUAUAGAAAUGCCAUUGAUACUGCUAUUCUUGAGUACAGUUGAGGUAGGCGGAAUGUGUAAUGUAGCGGUGAAAUGCUUAGAUAUUACACAGAACACCAAUUGCGAAGGCAGCUUACUAAGCUGGUACUGACGCUGAGGCACGAAAGCGUGGGGAGCAAACAGGAUUAGAUACCCUGGUAGUCC